GACGAACGCUGGCGGCGUGCUUAACACAUGCAAGUCGAACGGAAAGGCCCUGCUUUUGUGGGGUGCUCGAGUGGCGAACGGGUGAGUAACACGUGAGUAACCUGCCCUUGACUUUGGGAUAACUUCAGGAAACUGGGGCUAAUACCGGAUAGGAGCUCCUGCUGCAUGGUGGGGGUUGGAAAGUUUCGGCGGUUGGGGAUGGACUCGCGGCUUAUCAGCUUGUUGGUGGGGUAGUGGCUUACCAAGGCUUUGACGGGUAGCCGGCCUGAGAGGGUGACCGGCCACAUUGGGAAUGAGAUGCGGCCGAGACUCCUACGGGAGGCAGCAGGGGAGAAUAUUGCACAAAGGGCGGAAGCGUGAUGAAGGAACGCGGCGUGCGAGAUGCCGGCAUUCGGGUUGUAAACCGCUUUGGCCUGUGACGAAGUGUGAGUGACGGUAAUGGGUAAAGAAGCACCGGAUAACCACG
rnacentral:rRNA from 1 species